rnacentral:rRNA from 1 species
AUUGAACGCUGGCGGCAUGCCUUACACAUGCAAGUCGAACGGCAGCACGGGAGCAAUCCUGGUGGCGAGUGGCGAACGGGUGAGUAAUAUAUCGGAACGUGCCCAGUCGUGGGGGAGUAACGUAGCGAAAGCUACGCUAAUACCGCAUACGAUCUACGGAUGAAAGCGGGGGAGUCGCAAGACCUCGCGCGAUUGGAGUGGCCGAUAUCAGACUAGGUAGUUGGUGAGGUAAAGGACUCACCAAGCCGACGAUCUGUAGCUGGUCUGAGAGGACGACCAGCACACUGGGACUGAGACACGGCCCAGACUCCUACGGGAGGCAGCAGUGGGGAAUUUUUGGACAAUGGGCGCAAGCCUGAUCCAGCAAUGCCGCGUGCAGGAUGAAGGCCUCGGUUGUAACGUG